GCUUGCGGGUAUUAUCAGGUCCCAUUACACGAGAACUCCAUUGAGUACACUGCAUUCGUCACUCCCGACGGACAAUUUGAGUUAUUAGCGAUGCCGUUUGGUCUAAAGAACGCACCGUCGGUUUUUCAAAGAGCAGUGAUGAAAGCAGUGGGCGAUGGCAUUUUCGUACGUUAUUGUCUAUAUGGAUGGCGUCAACUAAGGAAGAAGCUAUUGAAAGAUUAGAGAUCGUCUUGAAUACUUUGACUAAGGCAGGCUUUUCAUUUAAUGUAGAAAAAUUCUCAUUUUUGAGGAAUUCUGUUCAGUAUCUAUUGAGGCAAUUUAUAUAUAUCUUUACUCUCUUACAUCUAUUAAAAUUAAUUUUGAUUGGACGAAUGAAAAUGAGAAGAACAGCAUACAGAUGCAAGUGCCAUUGGCUAUGGAGCCAUACUUUUGCAUCGAAUUGAAAAUAAACCGUAUGUGGUUGAAUAUUUCAUAUUUCCCAUGUAGAUUUUCUGUCAAGGAAUCCUUUGCAUGAUAAGAAAAAAGAGAAUCAAAAUAAAGUUUUAGAAAAACAUGUA